ensembl:lincRNA
UGUGAGUGCGGAGGGCCUGCAGCGGGAGCAGGAGAUCACAAGACUUCCUCUGGCGGCUCUGGGCCUGGUGACACCCGGCAGCCUCCCUGCACUGCUGCUGCCCAGGUGGAUGAGGUGGAGGUCCCUUCUCCAGGCACCCUUGGAAAUCGGAAUCACUGAGGAUGAGGAUGCCCCGCAGUUGGAGUCGCCCAGAGCACCACUGCGACACGGAGGACGAGGAAGAAACAGAGUCCCUGGACUCCAGUGUUGAGCUAUGUGAAAAGGAAGUGAAUGAGUUGCUGUCAUAUUCAGUGGAGGACCUGCCCUUCCCCCAUUCUGGGUGUCCUGACCCACCUUACCAACAGCAGCAUCGCAUCUUCCCUGCAGAGGAGCGUGAAGCGAGUUCUGCGCCGGAUGGAACCAAACCUGAAGGCAUCCUGAAACCUCAGGAGGAGCAGGCAGCCGAGCUGUCCAGGUCUGCAGUGGAACUGGGGAACCAGAUGUUGACACACAUAGGGAACACUUGCUGCAGUUGGAAGGUUAUCAUCUUCUCCCUCCGUCGCAGAAUCAGGGACCUGCUGUCUCGGGAUGGCCCUGGGAGUCGUGAGGGGCAGAGCCACCGAGACCACGCUGAGGGGCACAAGCUGGCCGAGCCCCUCGCCCUCCAGCCCCGCCCAGAACCGGGCUCCAGGAGAACAGCAGCCUCGCCCAGCAUCCUCACAGGAAGGAGAGGUGGCAGCGGGAGGCGUGUGCGAUUCCUCACAGCCUCGGCUGAGGGUCCCACAUACUGCUGGAGCCAGGGAAGGUACUGCUGACUUAAGAAGAUCAAUCACCAAGAGGACCUUCUGCAUGUUAUACUGAUAUCUACAACAACGUACCAGCUGCAUCGCCAUCAGCACAGAGGAGCAAUGCUUUGUGAGAGCUGAAUUCUCAACCAGGGACUGCACUUGAGUUUUAUUCCAAAGGCCAGGUUUUGUUUUUCAAAGUCACAGUUCCUCCAACUCCAGAUGUGACAAAUACUCCAGAAGCCAGGGGCCUUGAUCCAGUUUCUCCAAAUUUCAAUUUUAAUCCUGUUAGGUUAACAAGAAUUACUAGAAUGAUAUUGUCUCAAAUAUCCACUUGAAAAUUCUAUUUUAUAGUCUUUUAAUUUUAUCAUUUUGGGGGAUAAGGAUCAAAGUUAAUAUGUUUAUUUCCUAGUUGUACUACUCUAAACUCCAGGUGAUUUUAGGCAGAUUUUACCGUAUCUAGCAGAAUGUAUUUCUCGUAAUUUUUUGUCCCUAUUGUUUAUGUAUUUUGUUUGGUACUUUGGAAGUUUUAUAUAGUUAUGUUUCAUAUUACCCUAAGCCUAUAUUUAAAACUUUAGUCACCUUUAUUUGAAAAAUCCCAUAUUAGUUGUAUUGUAAAUGUUAGGCUAUGUUUACCAUAUAUACUAGGUUGUGUUCCUUACAGUUCUUUCUCCAUGCUGUAUGUGAGUGUUUUAGAAUUCAGGAUGGAUUGAAGGGCAUGUGAUUCACAUCACCCUAAGAACAUUCUAGACCUCUGUAGUCUUCUUCAUUUGACAGGUCUCUCAUGGUUACUUUCUCAUUUCUACAUGAUGUCUCCCAACUUGAAGUAACAUCGUAACAGCACUUGUUUUCUUUACUUUUACUCAGUUACCUGCUAUUUAUAGUGUUAUUUCCACCCAGCCAUACAUAGCCCAGUUACACACCAUUUCUCCUACCUGUCUACACUGUGAUUUUUCUUUGACAUCCAAAUGUAAUGUAUCACUGCUCACCCCUUCUUCAACAUCGAGCGUCCUCUGUUCUCCUACCUGGUUGGAAUUCUCCUGUAACCACUGUCACGAUGGAAUCGGGUGGCUGUGGGUUUUACAUGAAUGUUGUUCUCUGUCCACUGCCUCAACACAUAGGAGUGUGAAGGACAUGAGUGAGGUCUAACAGUGAUUUUUCUUGACUGUUUAGAAAAUAGGUGUGUUUUCUGCGCUUCAUUUUCCUACAAAGUACAGAUUCCUACCAGUUGUUAAUAUUUAAUUGUAAGUCAGUAUCUGAGCUUCCUAUUUGUUGUUUGUUUGUUUCUUUAAAACAGUAUUCACAUAAAAUCUGCAAACUGAAAUCAGGUGGUGAUGUCUGCUGUAAUACUCAUCUCCUCCCCAUUUUCUUUUCUUCUGUCUCGCUGUGUCCCUUGUCAUUUCCUUGUUUCUCGUGCUUGUUUUAAAACUUGACCAUUCGCAUACGUCCCUAUCAGCCAGGGAGGAGCAGGCCCCCACCGACACUUUGCUCAUUCCUCUCCUUAGCUAAAUGACCAGCUUCAUCACUAGCACAAGCUCCCUUUUACACAACACUGGAGGAGGUGUAGAUGAGAUCUCGGUGUUUCCGUCAAGGUUGCCUUUCCUGCAGUUUUCAGUGACCUCCUCAUCUCCACGGGCAGUCUCCAGAACCACCGUUCACCUACGCCUUUCCAGCAGCCCCUGAAAUCCUCGUCCCUCCUCUCCCCGACCCUGUUGCACAGCUGCCUCCACAAUCUUUGCGUUCCUCGCCCCACCUCUCCACAGGGUACGCAGAGAAGGAAUUUCACUCGUGAGAUGACAGAGACUGUGGUUCUCGUGGUCAGAAAGCUGGAGCUAAGGGCAGGAGAGUGCACUUCUGAUCAGAGGCCAAAGGCAGGAAGGGCCACUGUCCCGCAAAUCCGGAAGGCUGAGGGACUUCCUUACUCCUGACAGCCCUGCUGAUGCUGUCCAGGCUGCUCCUGCACCUCCACAUCCUGCCACCCCACCCAGCUGGCCAAAGUCCAGUGCUGCCCAGGGGUGGGGUGUGAAGCCGUGAUCCCUUCCAUUCCAGGACACCGGGCCCAAGGCAGGAUGAAUAGGCAGCUUUCAAUACCUUACCGCAGAUUGGACAGAAGCACAAGGGAUGAUCAGGGAGUGCUAUGAACGAGGACGCACAGCCCAUUAGGAAAUCCAGGAAAGACGGGUGCACAGCCUCCUGAAACCACUAUGCAGACACUGAGAGCCAGUGAGCUACGAGAUCGAACCUGUGUGUAAAAGUCUCCGGGCGAAGCAACGCCCAGCACGGGACGAAGUCACACUGAAUUCUAGGAACCAUCUGUGGGGGAGCUGUAUGCAAUUCCUAAACUUCUCCGGAGGCUGAAGAGCAGAGCGCUCUGCCCAAACCACCUGCUCUUUACAACUCUGUCUCCGAGCAAAACCUCGUUUCCAACCCGCCCUCCUCGUGAAGCCCCAGACCUCCUGAACCGUUAGCAGCGUCCAGACCCCUGAAGCGGGGUGUGCACGGGAGGAGUGGGGAGUCUCUGCGCCCCGGAAGUGUCAGACCUGAGCCUUCUGCCCGCUAGGGGUUCCCAGACCAAAGAUGCCCACUUUCUGAGUCCGAAAGGUCGCAGGCUGAGGUGAGGACCUGGGCUCCCCGUCUCUCCUGCGACUACGCGGCCAGCCGCAGUCUUUCCUCUCCCUGGCAGCGCCUGCAUCUCCAGCCAGCGCUGCACGCUGUGCCUCCGGUGUCCGCCAGAGGGCGCGGGACCCGUCCGAGAGCCCCGCGCCACGGGUUCGGGUUGGCUGGCUUGUGGUCCCCAUCCCUAAGAACAGCCAGCCCUUUGCACUUCUACUGCUUCUUCCCCCCAUUUCCGAGAAGCGAAACUGUCAAUCAAGGCCGCCAUAACAACCGAGGCGUCCAGCAGGCCACGCCCCAGAAGAUGUCUACACCACCACCACCACCACCACCACCACCACCACCACCACCACGAUGGGCUUGAAUUUUAGAAUUUGGGCCAAUCAGUAGGCGCGAUUCAGAAGCUUAGCAUCUAAAUCAAUCAGAACUAUUGGCUGGCUUGUCUCUGGACCAAUCAGCACCAAAUUUGGACCACCCACCAGGUUUGUGACCAAUCACAAACCUGCAGCCGCUGUGUUAGCUGGAGGUGCCCAGCCUGUGGGAGAGUGCUGUCAGGACCUUUACCCUGACAGGUACCCUGGCCCAGGUACUGCUGCCCCUACCUGCUCUCUGGGAUGCGAGGCAGAUAGGUUCUUUCUAACAAUUCCAGCCAGCAGGGGCGGAGCAGCCAGGCAGUCACCAGAGACUUCCCUGUCCCACUGUGUCCCUGUUCACAACUCCACCAGGCAGGAUGGGCAUGCGGUGGAACUUCGAUUUUAGACGUUGCAGGUGUGACUGAGCUGGGGUCCUUGGGAUGGGAGGCCAUCCUGACUGUCACAGCAAGUGUCAACAGAAGGGCUGGAGGUCAGAGAGGAGAAAACACUCUGUUGCUG